rnacentral:rRNA from 1 species
UACGUAGGGUGCGAGCGUUAAUCGGAAUUACUGGGCGUAAAGUGUGCGCAGGCGGCAGAGCAAGUCGAGUGUGAAAGCCCCGGGCUUAACUUGGGAAUUGCGCUCGAAACUACUUUGCUGGAGUGUGGCAGAGGAAGGUGGAAUUCCUGGUGUAGCGGUGAAAUGCGCAGAUAUCAGGAGGAACACCAAUUGCGAAGGCAGCUCGCUGGAACGUAACUGACGCUGAGACGCGAAAGCGUGGGGAGCAAACAGG